GGUCGGUGAUGAGUGUUGGCAUGUAUUAUCUGAUCUGAAGGUGAUGUGUGACACCACUUCAGCUCUAGAAUUACUCUGAGGCCCA
rfam:Tauraco erythrolophus contig58400, whole genome shotgun sequence.